rnacentral:rRNA from 1 species
UUCAGCGGCGGACGGGUGAGUAAUGCCUAAGAAUCUGCCUGGUAGUGGGGGAUAACGUCCGGAAACGGGCGCUAAUACCGCAUACGUCCUGAGGGAGAAAGUGGGGGAUCUUCGGACCUCACGCUAUCAGAUGAGCCUAGGUCGGAUUAGCUAGUUGGUGGGGUAAAGGCCUACCAAGGCGACGAUCCGUAACUGGUCUGAGAGGAUGAUCAGUCACACUGGAACUGAGACACGGUCCAGACUCCUACGGGAGGCAGCAGUGGGGAAUAUUGGACAAUGGGCGAAAGCCUGAUCCAGCCAUGCCGCGUGUGUGAAGAAGGUCUUCGGAUUGUAAAGCACUUUAAGUUGGGAGGAAGGGCAGUAAGUUAAUACCUUGCUGUUUUGACGUUACCAACAGAAUAAGCACCGGCUAACUUCGUGCCAGCAGCCGCGGUAAUACGAAGGGUGCAAGCGUUAAUCGGAAUUACUGGGCGUAAAGCGCGCGUAGGUGGUUCAGCAAGUUGGAUGUGAAAUCCCCGGGCUCAACCUGGGAACUGCAUCCAAAACUACUGAGCUAGAGUACGGUAGAGGGUGGUGGAAUUUCCUGUGUAGCGGUGAAAUGCGUAGAUAUAGGAAGGAACACCAGUGGCGAAGGCGACCACCUGGACUGAUACUGACACUGAGGUGCGAAAGCGUGGGGAGCAAACAGGAUUAGAUAUCCUGGUAGUCCACGCCGUAAACGACGUCGAC